rnacentral:rRNA from 1 species
AGCAUAUCACUAAGCGGAGGAAAAGAAACUAACUAGGAUUCCCCUAGUAACGGCGAGUGAACGGGGAUGAAGCCCAGCGCCGAAGCCUCCGUCCCUUCGCGGGGCGGCGUGCAAUGUGGCGUUUGGGGGGAGCCCCUCCGCCGGUUCGCGGGAGCCCAAGUCCCCCUGACCGGGGCCACUGCCCAUGGCGGGUGCUAGGCCCUUGCGGCUCUCCGCGGCCGGAGGAUGGCUCUUCUCCCGGGAGUCGGGUUGCUUGGGAGUGCAGCCCUAAGUGGGUGGUAAACUCCACCUAAGGCUAAAUACGGCCACGAGACCGAUAGC